GGGUCCUGUGGCCCCAAUCCGGCCCGGACAGAGAGCGGGCCUCGCCGCGGCUCCCCUGUCCCCGGGGUUUGACAGAGGAAGUUAGGGGUCCUGGGUCCAAGCUCCGGCUGUACCCUGACUAUCCCGUGACACGUCGGGCGGGGCCCUUCCCCUGUCUGGGCCUCAGUUUCCACAUUUGUGCAGUGAGGAGAUGAUCACUGUAUCCUCGACGUGGAGCCGGAAGGGACCUUCGAGGUCUAGUCUGCCCCCUUUAUUUUACCAAUAAAGAAUCUGAGGCCCACCAAGGGAAGUGACUUGCCCAAGGUCACACACAGGUGGUAAGGGACAGUGGUCAGAUUUGAACCCAGGCCCUCUGACUCCAAAUCCAGGUGUCUGCACUUCCCCGGACUGAGGGUCUCUCUGUAAGAUCCUUGCUGGUUGUCAGGGUCAGGGCGACGACUCAGUGACUGUUCCUGUGACCCCCUAGUGCUGUGGGAGCUCAGAGGCCAAGAUGCUCAUCUGUGUAUAAAAACAGGAAGGAGCCUUCUCAGAGAAACAAGAAUCCUGGCGGCAGCUCGGGUGUCAGUGCCUUUUCCACCUUCCAUCAGCUUCUCUUCAUCUGAGAUACUUCAGCAGCAGAAGGUUCUGCACCACCUUAAUGGUCUUCAGCAUGGUAUUUGCCCUUUAUCUUUGAACUCUCCCUUUAGAUGCCAGCUUCCUUGGCCUUUUUAUCAUUCACCCAUCUACUGUCACCAAAGCACCUUAACCUCAGUGAUUUAUAGUCUACCAAGCACAUUCCUCACAACAUUCCUGAGAGGUUGGUGUUUGAAAUGUUACUCCCAUUUCACUGAUGAGAAAAUUGAAGUUCAGAGAGAUUAAGUGAUUUGCCCAUUAUCACAAAGCUUAUGAGCAGAAGAACUCAAACUAUCUUCAAGUCCGGUGCUCAGUUUUCUUUAAUAUGGAACCGUCUUUCUUCUGAUCUUACUCUGACAAAUAACUGGAGUGUACCAC
rnacentral:lncRNA from 1 species